rnacentral:rRNA from 1 species
GAAUAUUGGUCAAUGGGCGGGAGCCUGAACCAGCCAUGCCGCGUGCAGGAAGACGGCGUUCUGCGUUGUAAACUGCUUUUAUACGGGAAGAAAAGGCCCAUGCGUGGGACAUUGCCGGUACCGUAUGAAUAAGCACCGGCUACCUCCGUGCCAGCCGCCGCGGUAAUACGGAGUGUGCAAGCGUUGUCCGGAUUUAUUGGGUUGAAAGGGUGCGUAGGCGGCCGUAUAAGUCAGCGGUGAAAGUUUCCGGCUCAACCGGGAAAUUGCCGUUGAUACUGUACGGCUUGAGUGCCGAUGGGGUACAUGGAAUUUAUGGUGUAGCGGUGAAAUGCAUAGAUACCAUAAGGAACACCGAUAGCGAAGGCAUUGUACUGAUCGGCAACUGACGCUGAGGCACGAAAGCGUGGGUAGCGAACAGG